AAUUUUCCGCAAUGGGCGAAAGCCUGACGGAGUGACGCCGCGUGGGGGAUGAAGGCCUUCGGGUUGUAAACCCCUGUCAGAGGGAAAGAAGGGCCGGCGUGUGAAUAGCGCGUCGGUCUGACGGUACCUUCAGAGGAAGCCCCGGCCAACUCUGUGCCAGCAGCCGCGGUAAGACAGAGGGGGCAAGCGUUGCUCGGAAUCACUGGGCGUAAAGGGCGCGUAGGCGGCUCUUUAAGUCAGGCGUGAAAGCCCUGGGCUCAACCUGGGAAUUGCGCUUGAUACUGGAGGGCUAGAGAGUGGGAGAGGUUGGUGGAAUUCCCAGUGUAGAGGUGAAAUUCGUAGAUAUUGGGAAGAACACCGGUGGCGAAGGCGGCCAACUGGACCAUUUCUGACGCUGAGGCGCGAAAGCGUGGGGAGCAAAC
rnacentral:rRNA from 1 species